CUCUUUGUGCGGUAAACUCGUGGCUGGUGAGGAUGGCCGUCGCGGAGUUCGCCUGGCUUUUGCUGCGAAACCGUCCCCAAAGGCGGGGGAGGGUGCCGCCCGGCACAUUUGCUUAGCUGCGCACAUGCAGGUACCUCGGGGCCCUGUUCGGUGAAGGGAUCACAGUCUAGGGCUGAGCAGGAUGAACUCCCAUUACAGACUAGAGUUUCUGAUGUCGCUCUGACGCUACUGCUCGGAACUGACCCAGCCCGGGUCAGGGGGGGCUCGUCUAAAGUCGCCGAGUCUUUGCUGACUCACUUGUUUCUUCCCAGGCCCCUGGUGCUCGAAGGAAGAUCCGCAGCGCGACGAGGGAGUGUAAGAUGUCCACAUCUUAAAUGGCCGCACUCGCCGCGUAAGUCCAGGGCCAAGGAUCGAAGCCCAGCCGCAGAAGCACGGAAUCCUUUAACCUGCAUCAGGCUGGGGAUGGAACCCGCACCUCCGCAGCGACCCCAGCAGCUGCAGUCGUAUUUUUAACACAGUGCGCAAGAGCGGGAACUCCUUAUUUUUGAAUAAGGCCCGAGAGCUCCUUAUCUUUGAAGCCCAGCCAGGGGCUGUCCCUUUCAGAGAUCUGGGCUAGACUGGAAAGAUUCUGGAAGGCCUAAGGUUUGGAAUUCUCUUGAAGAGCUGACAGGAUGGCUGUGGUGCCCAUAUAGUGGUUCCUGCCACUUGAACAGGCUGUGAGAAGUGGAGAAGAUGCCUUCAGCUUGGGUUCUGUGAACUUUGCAGACACAAAAGGAUGUCCUCUCUGGUGUUGGACAGAUCUUGGGAGCUUCACAUCUUUCCUGAAUUAACACAUGGGAGCAGCUAUCAACUCUUCCGAGCCAGGCGAACUGCCUAGAAAUUUGGGGACCCUUAAAUAUCAAUUAGGUGGUCUUCACUUCUUUACUUGGUUUUAGCAAAAGGAUUCCAAUAAAAUAUUUAAAAGUAAAUGAAAAAUAGAUUGGUCUUAGGCCAUAGCAACCACCAGAGCCACUGCAGUGACAACACCAGAUCCUUGACCUGCUGCGCCUCAAGGGAAAUCCUGAUAGUUGAGGUUUUUAUGAGACUGUUACAACAGUUAUCCAUUUGGCUUUUGAUGAGUUUGGUGAAAACAUAGAUUGUUCAGAUAUAUUUUGAAAGAAUUCUAUUCCUGGUGGUUGCCAGGGGCUGAGGAGGAGAAAAUGAGCAGUUAUUAAUGGGUUUAGAGUUUCAGUUGCCCAGCAUGAAAAGAAUGCAUGGGGGUGAAAGGUGGUAGUUCCACAAUGUUAUGAAUGUAUCAUCAGUGAAUUGUUUGCUUAAAGUGGUAAAAAUGGUAAGUUUUAUGUUUAUUUCACCCCAAUAAAAAAAUGGGGAAAAUCUCUGUGUUCCUUUUUGUCACUAUCACAAAGGGGGUUCUAAAAUUGGAAUUUCACAGUUCAAGGAAUUGGACAUUGAAGGUGACUUGUGUCAUUUGCUCUAUAAAUUGGUCCCAGC
rnacentral:lncRNA from 1 species